rnacentral:misc_RNA from 1 species
UACGUAGGUGUCGAGCGUUAUCCGGAAUUACUGGGCGUAAAGGGCGCGCAGGCGGUCUGGGCAGUCCGACGUGAAAGCUCCCGGCUUAACUGGGAGAGGUCGUUGGAAACUUUCAGGCUUGAGGCAGUGAGAGGGAGGCGGAAUUCCCGGUGUAGUGGUGGAAUGCGUAGAUAUCGGGAAGAACACCAGUGGCGAAAGCGGCCUCCUGGCACUGACCUGACGCUGAGGUGCGAAAGCGUGGGGAGCGAACGGG